rnacentral:rRNA from 1 species
AGAACGCGUAUGACGGUACCCUCGAAGGAAGCACUGGCUAACUCCGUGCCAGCAGCCGCGGUAAUACGGAGAGUGCAAACGUUGUUCGGAAUUAUUGGGCGUAAAGGGCGCGUAGGCGGUCUGGUAAGUCGGAUGUGAAAGCCCGGGGCUCAACCCUGGAAGUGCGUUCGAAACUGCUGGACUUGAGUUCAGGAGGGAGAGGUGGAAUUCCUGGUGUAGGGGUGAAAUCCGUAGAUAUCAGGAGGAACACCGGUGGCGAAGGCGACCUCUUGGCCUGUAACUGACGCUGAGGCGCGAAGGCGUGGGGAGCAAACAGGAUUAGAUACCCUGGUAGUCCACGCGGUAAACGAUGCUCACUGGGUGCUGGUGGUAGACGCUGUCAGUGCCGUAGCUAACGCGAUAAGUGAGCCGCCUGGGGAGUACGGUCGCAAGAUUAAAACUCAAAGGAAUUGACGAGGGC